rnacentral:tRNA from 1 species
CAGGGAGAACCAACUUCAAGUGAUGAUCACAUUUUUUUCGUGAUCCAUUUGACUGUUCAACCCUAUGGUCGGUCGGUACCUCAAUGAAUGAGAUGUUAUCUCGUUCAUCUCGGUUCUUAAGCUUGUCUAGGUCACUACCCCAUAGCUGAUAAGCUGUGGAGGAUGGGCCCGAGAGGGUUCCUGGGCCAUUAGCUCAGGUGGUUAGAGCGCACCCCUGAUAAGGGUGAGGUCCCUGGUUCAAGUCCAGGAUGGCCCAUCGGGAUUGGGGGUUUAGCUCAGCUGGUAGAGCGCCUGCUUUGCAAGCAGGAUGUCAGCGGUUCGAGUCCGCUAACCUCCAUCAAUUCUGAUGUGGGAAACGGCAGAACGCCAUGGUGAUCUAGGGGAAGGUUUGUUGGUGAAUCCAGCCUCGUUUGAUACUCGUUAGUCGAGCUCAAAUGAUGCUGGACUCAGCAAUGGGUUCAGCAAGAACCUUGACAACUGCAUAGGUGAGUCUGGAAAUAAGCAUCUCACAGAGAUGAUCCAGACAUUGAUUGAUGAUUUUGGUCAUCAAUGGAUGGAUGGAUUGUUAAUUCUGUGGAAGCCGAGAUCCAGUUGACUUGUCAACUGGAGAGUGAAAAU